UAAAGAGAGGGGGUUGACACUGCUCAGGAUGAACGCUGGCGGUCUGCUUAACACAUGCAAGUCGAACGGAAUCCUUCGGGAUUUAGUGGCGGACGGGUGAGUAACACGUGAGAAUCUGCACUCAGGAUGGGGACAACAGCGGGAAACUGCUGCUAAUACCCAAUGUGCCGAAAGGUAAAAGAUUUAUCGCCUGAGAAUGAGCUCGCGGCCGAUUAGUUAGUUGGUGGGGUAAUGGCCUACCAAGACGGCGAUCGGUAGCUGGUCUGAGAGGAUGAGCAGCCACACUGGGACUGAGACACGGCCCAGACUCCUACGGGAGGCAGCAGUGGGGAAUUUUCCGCAAUGGGCGCAAGCCUGACGGAGCAAGACCGCGUGGGGGAGGAAGGCUCUUGGGUUGUAAACCCCUUUUCUCAGGGAAGAAGUUCUGACGGUACCUGAGGAAUCAGCCUCGGCUAACUCCGUGCCAGCAGCCGCGGUAAUACGGAGGAGGCAAGCGUUAUCCGGAAUUAUUGGGCGUAAAGCGUCCGUAGGUGGUGGGGCAAGUCGGCGGUUAAAGACUGGGGCUUAACUCCAGAAAGGCCGUGGAAACUGCACCACUAGAGGGCAGUAGGGGUAGAGGGAAUUCCCGGUGUAGCGGUGAAAUGCGUAGAGAUCGGGAAGAACACCAGUGGCGAAAGCGCUCUACUGGACUGCAACUGACACUCAGGGACGAAAGCUAGGGGAGCGAAUGGGAUUAGAUACCCCAGUAGUCCUAGCCGUAAACGAUGAACUAGGUUCCGG
rnacentral:rRNA from 1 species